UACGUAGGGGGCAAGCGUUGUCCGGAUUUAUUGGGCGUAAAGAGCGUGUAGGCGGCUUUACAGGUCCGUUGUGAAAACUCGAGGCUCAACCUCGAGACGCCGGUGGAAACCGUAAAGCUAGAGUCCGGAAGAGGAGAGUGGAAUUCCUGGUGUAGCGGUGAAAUGCGCAGAUAUCAGGAAGAACACCCGUGGCGAAGGCGGCUCUCUGGGACGGUACUGACGCUGAGACGCGAAAAGCGUGGGGAGCGAACAGG
rnacentral:rRNA from 1 species